rnacentral:rRNA from 1 species
UGAGUAAUGCCUAGGAAUCUGCCUGGUAGUGGGGGACAACGUCUCGAAAGGGACGCUAAUACCGCAUACGUCCUACGGGAGAAAGCAGGGGACCUUCGGGCCUUGCGCUAUCAGAUGAGCCUAGGUCGGAUUAGCUAGUUGGUGAGGUAAUGGCUCACCAAGGCGACGAUCCGUAACUGGUCUGAGAGGAUGAUCAGUCACACUGGAACUGAGACACGGUCCAGACUCCUACGGGAGGCAGCAGUGGGGAAUAUUGGACAAUGGGCGAAAGCCUGAUCCAGCCAUGCCGCGUGUGUGAAGAAGGUCUUCGGAUUGUAAAGCGCUUUAAGUUGGGAGGAAGGGUUGCAGAUCAAUACCCUGCAAUUUUGACGUUACCGACAGAAUAAGCACCGGCUAACUCUGUGCCAGCAGCCGCGGUAAUACAGAGGGUGCAAGCGUUAAUCGGAAUUACUGGGCGUAAAGCGCGCGUAGGUGGUUUGUUAAGUUGGAUGUGAAAGCCCCGGG